UUUUAUACAGUCUAUGGGCAGCUGAAGAGACUGGCUCAUUUUCAAAUAAUGUUACCGUUAACUUGUUUAGACAACGGUCACGGUAAAUUAAUGUUAAAGCCUUUCGUGUCCAGCAGUUUCUCGGAGGGAAAAUGUAAAAGCGGUUUAUUAAAGAGAAGUCCUGACUCCUUUAUCGUCGUGUUUUUCACUCUUUUACAGGCUGCCAGAAAGAAUCCGUCUCUAUAGUGAGUGAUUAUUGAAUGAGGCUGUACAUUAUAAAUGUAAUGUUUUAACUCGAGAUGUUUGUUUGUGUGAAUGCUGUGUGUGCGGUGAGUUCUGCGCGAGCGGGGAGCAGAGUUGCCAUGGAAACGGGGCAUCAACACAAAAACCGUUACUGGCAAGCAGUAACGUUAAUCUCCGUCUCUCGCUGCGGUUUACGCAGUUUUAGAAAUGGUUUAGUGUCUUCGAAAAAGUCUGUUAGCAUCUAUCUUAGCAGUUUUCAGAAAAGGCUGAUUUACUGAAUCGAUGACGUCACUUACACUGAGAGUGUAACGUUAAUCGGCUGAAAACAAGUUCACAUGAGUUUUGAUAUUUCAUGAUAAACAGAUAUUAAUACAAAUUGUUCUGUGAUUUCAGGAGGACAGAAAGAAACUAUACAGAACAAAGUGAAACUCCAAGAUUUUUGAAAAGAAAAUUGGUGAAAUAUAUUCUGA